CCAUAUUGUCACACAAAAUAAGAAGAAAAGAGGGUAUGGGCAGUAAGGUCUUAUAGAUAAGGUCAAACCUUAUCUAAUAUGGUAACCAAUUCAAAUCAUGUUUGAACCUGCUAUAAAGAUCAGAUUAUUAUUCAUAUUUGGAUGUGAGAAAGGGAGGGUUGAGGACUCUUUUGCAUGGAGAAAUCUCAUGCAAAAAACUUUUGUGCAUGAGGAAAUAUGACGUCUGAAAUAGGUGGCGCAUGG
rnacentral:lncRNA from 1 species